rnacentral:lncRNA from 1 species
AGAUGCGAUACUACCAACUAAAACUUGGAGCCCGACGCCCGUGGAAUUUGGCAGUCCUAAAGAAUAUGCUUGCGGCAAGCUUUCCGAUCAUAGAUUCUAGAAAAGAAUGAGCUACGACUAAAGUUGCACAUAAAAUUGUCUACGCAUAGAGAUAUUAGAAUCCACAUUCAUUUGUUUGAAUAGAAAUGCUUGACUUUUGAAGUUCUAAAGUGCACCAUAAAUUGGCCCAGCUCUAAACUUCUGAAAAGCCCUCAUUUUAGCAAAAUUACCACAGUAAGACCAGAUAGAUUGUCUUUGGCCAUCAAAAGGAGGAAACUGCAAAGCUUUUGUGAUACUAGGAAUACUAGCGGGAUCACAUUUAAGUCAAGUGCCUCUAGUGGAUCAAGACACUGCAACUAGAUGGGAUCCAUCACUAAGUCUAUCAUCCUCAAUUUUCCAUAAGGUAUGGUUCAAGCGAUAUUAUCCCUCCUUAUCUUGCACUAUCUAUGAUUAAGCUAAAGAAUUGUUUAAAAUAUAUAGAGUUAGAGCAUGGUUUUUGAAGGAACAAUUUGGAAAGAGAAAUGAGCCCUUCAAUCUUUUGAAAUAAAAAAAUCUGUUUUUAGAGGAUCAUAUGGUGUACCUUGAUUUUAGGACUUUCGCAUUCCAGGAGGCACCAUAUCCCCAAGUAACCCUUCAUCCGUGAAUAUACGUCCACUUGGAUCUGAUGGUGCAUGAGAAUGUCCACUUUCACGCGAGACGUUGAAUGAUUCCUGGAUUCCAACGGAACCUUGAGGAAAUUGGACUCCCGGAUAAUAAAAUUGAGAGCUCGAAGGUGUCAAUUGGCUGCCAAAUGGUACUUCAUGGCUGAUGAGACCACCUCUUGGGAAUCCAACAGUAUGGUGACAGUGUUGUCCUUCAUACGUAGUGAUAACGAUCGUGGGAUCUUCAGAGGAGCGUUCAACUCUUUUCUUUACGGUGCAUUUGCUGUUAGUACAACGGUAGUAGCUCCUGCAAAUGACAGUGGACAUUCUUGUUAUGUGCCACACUCGUAUGCUACACACGCAUUAAUUCGGUUUACUCAGUGAUUCUUCAAUGCUCUACAACUGUAACUACGUAUACUUGCCAAGUAAAUGUAACAAAUGUACACAAAGCUGUGCUUGAGGUCUAUGCACUGGCCUAACAAUUUACCAAAUAAAUUUGUAGUCUUGAACUUGAUGUGCUUCCAACAUGCCCAAGAUUAAGAUAUUUUGCUAUUUUUUCUCUAAAUAGCAAGCCACCUGGAGAUUUCUUGCCAUUCACCAAACCAUUUUGUUGCUUAUUUUCAAGCCACAUGAGGAUGAAGAAUAGGUAAAUGUUGAAACUCCAUUGUAGUGCCACCAAAUGAAGGCACAUUAUUCAAUAUGCAUUAAUCAAACUGGGCAGGCAUAUUAAAUUUCCU